UUGCUUUCAUAACUAUGAGUUUUGUGGUCGGUAACUUGUACAAUUCUCAUUUUCUUCUCCUCAGAUCAAUGUUGGCUGUGAAAACUAUGACGCAAGUUAUCACCAGAGAGGGCCAGAUCGGAAAGAAAAAUGGAUUCAAAGAGUUUUCAUUCAGGAGAAAGAGAAAUCAAUUUGAAAUUUCAGUUUUACUGGACAAGCUUCAGCUAUCAAACCUAGACAAUUGGAGGGAAAGUCUGAAAGGCAGAAAAAUCACCUAUUUGAGUGCCUUCCUCCAGAGAGGACAAGACCAGCCCGCUCCUCCUGAAAAGCAAGGGUGUGAACGGAUCAACGCUGAAGCUGAAGCGCCCUUAAGCAAAUGUAAGACGCAGUGGUGGGCAAGAGAAAGCCUCCGGCCUCCUCAUGCGGGGCGCCCAGUCACUGUACUCGGAACCCAGUGAGUGUCAGUUUGCGGAAUGGCACGCGAUAGGCUAAUAGCAAAUAACACGCUGACUUCCUUAUACUGUACAUUUCUAAGGAAAUGGCUUUCCCAGCUUCCUCCAUAUAAAUGGCAAAUUUCGUAGUUUUCUCACGCCUACCCACUCUAUGAGCCUCUUACCUAACCCUGCCC
rnacentral:lncRNA from 1 species